rnacentral:rRNA from 1 species
UACAGAGGGUGCGAGCGUUAAUCGGAAUUACUGGGCGUAAAGGGCGCGUAGGCGGCUCAUACAGUCAGAUGUGAAAUUCCUGGGCUUAACCUGGGGGCUGCAUUUGAUACGUGUGGGCUUGAGUGGGGAAGAGGGUCGUGGAAUUCCCAGUGUAGAGGUGAAAUUCGUAGAUAUUGGGAAGAACACCGGUGGCGAAGGCGGCGACCUGGUCCUUGACUGACGCUGAGGCGCGAAAGCGUGGGGAGCAAACAGG